rnacentral:lncRNA from 1 species
UCCACCAAUAUAAAUAUAAGGAAGAAAUGGCAGAAAGAACAAAAUGUCACUGAUAAAGAGGUGACUGGAAGAAGGAAGGGGUUCCAUCCUACAAUCAAGAAGGGAUAUAUUGAAUCCAGACUAGGAGCAAAAAGAUAAACUGAAGUGACACAUAUGAAACCAAAAAGUUUGCAUUUCUUAAAACGCACUACCUUAAAACUUGCAAGGCAAAUGCUGAUGCUCUAUGUUAAAUGAUUGGCCCCGUGCUGUUCACCUACACAUACAACACAAUCAGAGAAACCUGUGGAAACUCUGAUUAACCUAUUAACUUAAACAUUGCACUUGUAAUUGGUGAAUCUAACAUGUAUGAGAAAAAAUUCCUAUAUUUCCCAAUGGAUGUCUGAAAAUGCAAAAGACACUUUGAUAGGAACUACAUGUGCUCCAAACAAGUCCACUCAAGACACCAUCCC